UACCUGAAAAUACCCUAAACCCUUUAUCACUACUAAGUAAUUUUAUAAUUUUAUAAAAGCCUUUAUGCUAAAACUAGUAACAAGAAGUAGAACUUCUCCUAAAUAUAAGUGUACGCCAAAAUGGACUAGCCAUUGGCAAUUAACGUUAAUGAGCUCACUAUAGUAACACACCCAAGAAAACACUAUUACUACACACGUUAAUCUUACACAAGCAUAUUUCAAGAAAGAUUAAAAGGAGAGGAAGGAACUCGGCAAACUUCAACCCCGCCUGUUUACCAAAAACACCGCCUCUUGUCAAAAAAUAAGAGGUCCAGCCUGCCCAGUGACACACUUAAACGGCCGCGGUACCCUGACCGUGCAAAGGUAGCAUAAUCAUUUGUUCUUUAAAUAAGGACUUGUAUCAACGGCAUCACGAGGGUUGUACUGUCUCCCCCCCCUAAUCAGUGAAACUGACCUCCCCGUGAAGAGGCGGGGAUCAAUCUACAAGACGAGAAGACCCCAUGGAGCUUUAAACCCAAUAAUAACUCUCUCUAAGUACCCCUUAAAGACAUGGAGGGCCUAUAUAUUGGUUUUAGGUUGGGGUGACCGUGGAGUAUAACAAAACCUCCUCGACGAAUAGGAACCCUCCUAAUCUAAGAGCCACUGCUCUAAGAAUCAAGAACUUGACGUAAAAUGAUCCAACAACCGAUCAACGAACCAAGUUACCCUGGGGAUAACAGCGCAAUCCAUUUCAAGAGCCCCUAUCGACAAAUGGGUUUACGACCUCGA
rnacentral:rRNA from 1 species